rnacentral:misc_RNA from 1 species
CAACUAUUUGCACCGUGGAAACAGCCUCAUGUGCGCCUUCCUGCCCCGCAUUCUCGCUCCCCCACCCUCACUCCUGUCUCUCCUCCCCCGAGCACUUCGUAGCCCCUUCUUUUCUGGUCUCGGCGUACACACACAUAUGUGUGUGUGUGUGCGGUGUGCAGCUCCUGCGCCCAUGUGCUGUUUGGGUGUCUCUCUCUCCGCCCGUGCGCGUGCCUGCGUGCGGACACUGGUCGUCUCUUCGCCAAGCGUUUUCGAUUUGUUGUUGAUUUGCCGUUCGCUCAUCCGUUGGAGGAGAGCCGGAGUGCGACGCGAAGCGGCCGCCACACACACACACACGCGCAACGCUUUGGAAAGACUCGCGCACAAAUGUCGCCACGACGCUGAUGCGAGGGAGUCGGUGUAGACGUGUGAAGGCCGGCGGCGGAAAACGGAUGAGGAUGGAUGCUUGCUCCACACCUCACGAACGCUGUGCAUAGCCACCCAAGAGAGCGCUAAGAAGAUGCUGUCCUUCGGAAGCACACAGAUGCUUUCCGCUGCCUCCGUCCAUCGGUGUAAGCGCCUGUGCUUCAGCAUGUUUUAUGCGGGAGCGCUUGUGAUGCGGGCAUGAUGUCCCCCCUCUCUCUCCCUUUAUUUUGAUCAUCCCUCCAUAGAAUGGCUAUAGGCGAGUCCCUGAACCGUCUCAUUGUCCCUCCCAUUUCUCUUCUAUCCUCCACACGCCUUCGCUGCCGCCACAUCAUCUUGUAUGUCACCUCUGAACAAG